rnacentral:rRNA from 1 species
AUUGAACGCUGGCGGCAUGCUUUACACAUGCAAGUCGAACGGUAACAGGCCGCAAGGUGCUGACGAGUGGCGAACGGGUGAGUAAUGCAUCGGAACGUGCCCAGUCGUGGGGGAUAACUACUCGAAAGAGUAGCUAAUACCGCAUACGAUCUAUGGAUGAAAGCGGGGGACCGUAAGGCCUCGCGCGAUUGGAGCGGCCGAUGUCAGAUUAGGUAGUUGGUGGGGUAAAGGCUCACCAAGCCAACGAUCUGUAGCUGGUCUGAGAGGACGACCAGCCACACUGGGACUGAGACACGGCCCAGACUCCUACGGGAGGCAGCAGUGGGGAAUUUUGGACAAUGAGCGCAAGCCUGAUCCAGCAAUGCCGCGUGCAGGAAGAAGGCCUUCGGGUUGUAAACUGCUUUUGUACGGAACGAAACGGCUCUGGUUAAUACCCGGGGCUAAUGACGGUACCGUAAGAAUAAGCACCGGCUAACUACGUG